rnacentral:rRNA from 1 species
GCUACGGGUGGCAGCAGUGGGGAAUAUUGCACAAUGGGGGAAACCCUGAUGCAGCAACGCCGCGUGAGUGAAGAAGUAUUUCGGUAUGUUAAGCUCUAUCAGCAGGGAAGAAAAUGCCGGUACGUGAGUAAGAAGCCCCGGCUAACUACGUGCCAGGAGCCGCGGUAAUACGGAGGGGGCAAGCGUUAUCCGGAUUUAAUGGGGGUAAAGGGAGCGUAGACGGCGAUACAAGUCUGAAGGGAAAGCCCGGGGCUCAACCCCGGGACUGCUUUGGAAACUGGGUUGCUGGAGUGCUGGAGAGGCAAGCGGAAUGCCUGGUGUAGCGGUGAAAUGCGUAGAUAUUAGGAAGAACACCAGUGGCGAAGGCGGCUUGCUGGACAGUAACUGACGUUGAGGCUCGAAAGCGUGGGGAGCAAACAGGAUUAGAUACCCGGGUAGUC